rnacentral:rRNA from 1 species
UUGUCUCAAAGAUUAAGCCAUGCAUGUCUCAGUACAAGCCGAAUUAAGGUGAAACCGCGAAAGGCUCAUUAAAUCAGUUAUGGUUCCUUAGAUCGUACCCAAAUUUACUUGGAUAACUGUGGUAAUUCUAGAGCUAAUACAUGCAAAUAGAACUCCGACCGGAGACGGAAGGAGUGCUUUUAUUAGAUCAAAACCAAUCGGUGUCGGGUUCGCCCGUCAUCGCACAGCUUGGUGACUCUGAAUAACUUUACGCUGAUCGCACGGUCUAGCACCGGCGACGCAUCUUUCAAAUGUCUGCCUUAUCAACUGUCGAUGGUAGGUUCUGCGCCUACCAUGGUUGUAACGGGUAACGGGGAAUCAGGGUUCGAUUCCGGAGAGGGAGCCUGAGAAACGGCUACCACAUCCAAGGAAGGCAGCAGGCGCGCAAAUUACCCACUCCCAGCACGGGGAGGUAGUGACGAAAAAUAACGAUACGGGACUCAUCCGAGGCCCCGUAAUCGGAAUGAGUACACUCUAAACCCUUUAACGAGGAUCAAUUGGAGGGCAAGUCUGGUGCCAGCAGCCGCGGUAAUUCCAGCUCCAAUAGCGUAUAUUAAAGUUGUUGCGGUUAAAAAGCUCGUAGUCGAAUCUGUGUCUCGCGCCGCCGGUUCAUCGUCCGCGGUGUCAACUGGCGUGCCGCGAGACGUAUUGCCGGUGGGCUCAGCCCCCGAAAGGGGGCGGCCCAACUAACCCGCCGCGGUGCUCUUCACUGAGUGUCGAGGUAGGCCGGCACGUUUACUUUGAACAAACUAGAGUGCUUAAAGCAGGCUAGAUUUCGCCUGAAUAUGUGUGCAUGGAAUAAUGGAAUAGGACCUCGGUUCUAUUUUGUUGGUUUUCGGAACCCCGAGGUAAUGAUUAAUAGGAACGGAUGGGGGCAUUCGUAUUGCGACGUUAGAGGUGAAAUUCUUGGAUCGUCGCAAGACGAACAGAAGCGAAAGCAUUUGCCAAAAACGCUUUCAUUGAUCAAGAACGAAAGUCAGAGGUUCGAAGGCGAUCAGAUACCGCCCUAGUUCUGACCAUAAACCAUGCCAGCUAGCGAUCCGCCGACGUUCCUCCGAUGACUCGGCGGGCAGCUUCCGGGAAACCAAAGCUUUUGGGUUCCGGGGGAAGUAUGGUUGCAAAGCUGAAACUUAAAGGAAUUGACGGAAGGGCACCACCAGGAGUGGAGCCUGCGGCUUAAUUUGACUCAACACGGGAAACCUCACCAGGCCCGGACACCGGAAGGAUUGACAG